AAGACUAUACUUUCAGGGAUCAUUUCUAUAGUUUUUGACUUGAGAAAUGUGUUUCUAAAGUGUUAGAUCUUGCUAACCAUGAUGAAGAAUUUUGAUAUUCUCCUCUGAGCGCGAAGUGAAUUGGGAGUAAUGAUUUGUUUCAUAUGUUCUCAAUUUUUGAUGACCGUUCAAUGCUCCUCUAGGAGUAAUGAAGAGGAGAAUAUGAUCCGAGUGGUU
ensembl:snoRNA small nucleolar RNA U3